CCAGCCGCUAAACCCGCGUCCACCGGACGCCCUUUCGAGUUGACCUC
rnacentral:rRNA from 1 species